UCGAGCGAGCUUGCCUAGAUGAUUUUAGUGCUUGCACUAAAUGAAACUAGAUACAAGCGAGCGGCGGACGGGUGAGUAACACGUGGGUAACCUGCCCAAGAGACUGGGAUAACACCUGGAAACAGAUGCUAAUACCGGAUAACAACACUAGACGCAUGUCUAGAGUUUGAAAGAUGGUUCUGCUAUCACUCUUGGAUGGACCUGCGGUGCAUUAGCUAGUUGGUAAGGUAACGGCUUACCAAGGCAAUGAUGCAUAGCCGAGUUGAGAGACUGAUCGGCCACAUUGGGACUGAGACACGGCCCAAACUCCUACGGGAGGCAGCAGUAGGGAAUCUUCCACAAUGGACGAAAGUCUGAUGGAGCAACGCCGCGUGAGUGAAGAAGGGUUUCGGCUCGUAAAGCUCUGUUGGUAGUGAAGAAAGAUAGAGGUAGUAACUGGCCUUUAUUUGACGGUAAUUACUUAGAAAGUCACGGCUAACUACGUGCCAGCAGCCGCGGUAAUACGUAGGUGGCAAGCGUUGUCCGGAUUUAUUGGGCGUAAAGCGAGUGCAGGCGGUUCAAUAAGUCUGAUGUGAAAGCCUUCGGCUCAACCGGAGAAUUGCAUCAGAAACUGUUGAACUUGAGUGCAGAAGAGGAGAGUGGAACUCCAUGUGUAGCGGUGGAAUGCGUAGAUAUAUGGAAGAACACCAGUGGCGAAGGCGGCUCUCUGGUCUGCAACUGACGCUGAGGCUCGAAAGCAUGGGUAGCGAACAGGAUUAGAUACCCUGGUAGUCCAUGCCG
rnacentral:rRNA from 1 species